UCUCCCUCCUCCACGAAUUUCUGAAUUUCUAGGGUUAGGGUUCUUGGUUUUUGGGAUUGAGGUAGAACAAGACAAAUAAAGGAAAACAAACAGAAGAGAGGAAUAGGUGAUGUAGGUUGAUGUUGGAGAUUCAGAUUGGCGCUCAGAGGUGGGAUCAAUUCAAUGAGGAGGUGUAUCAUGGUGUAGGAGGAGAAGAAGGCCAUGUGGAUGGUGGACAGAAAGAGGAGGACCUCAAGGCUGCGGAGGAGGAAUAACAGUAGAGUAUCUUGUUAGAUCCAGCCAAAGGCGAUGACCUUGUUUCUACUCUGUUAUAGAUAAACUGCUCUUUUCUUUUCUUCCUGGGAGCUCCACCGUUUUGAAUGAACUGGACUGUCACCUAGUAAUGAGAAAAAACCAUGUUUGGCCAUUUUUAACUUAGAAUGGAGUUGGGAUGCUGCUACUGUGUCUGUAUUACAAUGAUCAUCCCAUCAUUGUGCAUAUGCUCUGUUGCACAAGGCACAUAAGGAACUCAAAAAGGCUAAAGUAGAACAAAAUGUGAAAAAACAAGCCUCGCAGCCAAGAAUCAUGCAUGCCCCCAAAAGAAGCACAAAGCAUUCAUGCCCCAGUAACUGUCAUCUUAAUGCACAAUGUCACCGGCUUGCUGAUGGGGAAUGUAAUGUUUUGUUAGUUUUUGAGUUAGUCGAGGGCCGAUCAUACUCUCAACAGAUCGAAAUUUAAACCUUUCGAUCAGCUAAUCUUACUAAAGAACACAAAUGUGUCUUUUUAUAAACUUGAAUUGUCCUGGUAAAAGUACGGAUUUUCACUUUCACCUGCAGCUGUCUCUAUGUGGAAGGCUUCUGAUGUUUCUGUAGGCGCAGGCCUGAACAAUAGUGAGACAUUGUAGGCGGACCUGAAUAAUAGUGAGACAUGGUAGUAACUAGCAAAAAGUGCAAGAUGCACGGUCAGCUUUUUCUUUUUCGAAUUUAGUGUACAUUUGUUGCUCUUUGCCACCUGUUUGAAAGCACUGCAUACACCUGCAGUACACUAAACUUUCUCAGGUUUGGUUCUCAUAUUUUCACACUAUGCUUAAGGCAAACGAUGGAUGGCUGAACACCUAUUUAUUUGUAGUUUUUAUCUGUUGAUACACGCCGAAAUGAACAGAACGAUAUAGCUAGGCGUGCUCCUAUUUUACGUUGAUGUAAAGAAGCGAUGCAAUCUACGUCGCCGGCAAGUUUGGAAAAAUGUAUUAUUUGUACAUGCUCCUAUUUUAUGUUGGCCCCAGAUCUCUUAACUCGUCUCUUAAAUUUCAUACAUCGGCUGGCGAAUGUGGGCUGAUUCUGAACAGUAUGCUAAUUUCCAAAUGUGGUUUGAUAGAGUACGCAGAUCUCUCGAUUACUAGCAACAAUCUCUCUCAGGUAUAUGUUUAGAGGGGCGAUUACAAGCAGCGGUACAAGAAUUGGUAGCUAGGGUUCGUCGCGAGACAGAAAGGGGGAAGGGGAAAGGAGCCGAGCCGCCGUUCGCCUGAUCCACUGGAUGCCUCAGGCUGAUCUCGAUCCCUCCUCAAGUAGGCGCGUGGACGGGCUUCAGUUAACCCACGCCGGCCCGAUGACGCGUGGAUUGGGCUUCAUGGGCCGGGCCGCUCGUGGAGCCGUGGUGACGUGGUCAUCGGUGCUGACUUGCGGGCCUGCCUUGUCAGGGCCGUUGACAUCCCCCUCUCCUUGAGUCGAGGCUUGUCCCCAAGCCUCAGCGAGCGGGAAGCGCUCCCUGAGACUCGCCUUGUCUUCCCAAGUUUCUCCGAGCACAUCCGAAUUGGACCAGCGGACGAGAAUUUGCUCUCGCAUCUUGCCCUUCUCUUGCCUCCAUCUUGACUGAAGGACUGCCACAGGGACCGCGAGCUCGUCAGAACAAUGAGGAAGAUGAGGUUCAACAGCCAUACCCGUGUUCAGGACGCGUCGAAGCAGCGAGACGUGGAAGACUGGAUGGAUUGUUGCUUGCGGAGGAAGUUGGAGCUUGUAUGCGACUUUCGUUGAUCUUGUCUAUGAUCGGAAACGGGCCAUAGUACUUGUAUGCCAACUUGUGGUUUGCUCUUGGCGCGACUGAAGUUUGGAUGUAUGGCUGCAGUUUCAGGUGUUGCUGCAACAGCUCCUGAACUGUAUCUCUCUCCUCGAUCCAUGAUUUGAGAGCUGAAACUGAACAAGUGUUUCCUGCUGUGAUCCCCCAGUGCCGUGGUUCGUAUCCAAACAUUGCUUUGAAGGGUGUCAUGCCUAUAGCCGAGUGGUGAGAGUUGUUGUACCAGAAUUGAGCCAACGAAAUCCAGAAACUCCACCGUCUUGGGCACGCUUGAGUGAAGCAUCUCAGAAAGGUUUCCACACACUAGUUAACUCGUUCCGUCUGACCGUCCGUUUGGGGGUGGUUGGCUGUGCUGAGUCUGAGUUGAGUGCUCGCGGCCUUGAAUAGCUCCUGCCAGAAAUGGCUUGUGAACACAGGGUCAUGAUCUGACACGAUCGCUCCCGAAAGCCCAUGCACUUUGUAGACUUGUUGGAUGAAAAGUUGGGCCACUGAAGCUGCCAUGUAUGGAUGCGCCAGGGGCAAGAAGUAGCUGAACUUGGUUCUCUUAUCGACUAUCACCAGCAGACAGUUGAACCGGCUCGAUUGUGGAAGGCCAUCCACGAAAUCCAUGGUGAUCAUGUCCCAUGGUUUGGUAGGGAUUGGCAAGGGCAAUAAGAGUCCUGGUGAAGCCGCUCUAUCCGGCUUAGGUUGCUGACACACCGAGCAGCACUGUACAUGGUGUUUGAUUUGAAUCUUCAUCUUGGGCCAAGCAAAAAGGCGUCGUAUGCGUCUGUAAGUGACUGGGAAUCCCGAAUGACCACCUAUCGGGCUGUCAUGGAAGGCUUGAAUGAUACGUUGUUGUAUAUGUGUUCCUCCCCCGAGCCAUAUCCUCCCCCUGAAUCUGAUGAUGCCUUGCUGCAGUGUGAAUCGUCCUUUGGUAUCGUUACGCACUGCUAGUUGUUCCAGAAGUUUCUGCGCGUGAGGAUUGCUGUUGUAGCUGUUGAUGAUGUCUUUCAGCCAACUGGGUUGACGCGAUGUGACCAUGUGAAGUGUCUUUGCUUGGUUAGCUCGCGAUAGAGCAUCCGCGCUGUUGUUCUCAGUCCCCUUCUUGUACUUGAUGCGGUACCUGAGCCCCAACAGUGUGGUGAAAUCUUUUUGCUGCUACGGGGUGUUCAGUCGCUGCUCUUCUAGAUGAGUGAGGCUCUUUUGAUCCGUGUAGAUGACAAAUUCUGUGUGCUGCAAAUACGGGUGCCAUUGAUCCACGGAAACUAUGAUUGCCAGGUACUCUUUCUCGUAGGUCGACAGCCCUUGGUAUCGUGGACUAAGGGCUUUGCUAAUGAAGGCUAUGGGGUGCCCCUGUUGCUGCAGAAUUGCCCCUAUGCCACGGUCGCACGCAUCGGUCUCAACUGUGAAUGGUUGAGCAAAAUUCGGCAAGGCCAGCAUCGGCGCUGUGAUGAGCUGCUGCUUCAGGACUUGAAAGGCAGUUUCUGUGAUCGAUGUCCAGAGAAAUGGGACGCCCUUCUUCAGUAAGUUAAAGAGUGGCCGGGCAAUCACUCCAAAGUUGCGCACGAAACGACGGUAGUAUCCUGCGAGUCCCAAAAAACUCCGGACUCCCUUGACAUCUUGUGGAGGGGACCAGUUGGCCACUUUUGCUAUCUUGGUCGAGUUUGUUGCAAUACCUUGCGCGCUGAUGACGUGGCCCAUGUAAGAUAUCCUGCUUUGUCCAAAAGCACACUUGCUGAGCUUCACUUUCCAGUGGUCUUUGCGAAGCAGUUCCAACACUUGUCUCACAUGGCACUUGUGUUCUUCCAAUGUGGCACUAAAAAUCAAGAUGUCGUCGAAGAAACAGAGGACACAAAUGUGAAUCACUGGCUUGAGAGUUGUAGUCAGUCCUUCAAUGAAUGUGGGAGGGCCCCCAGCUAGUCCAAAGGAUAACACUUUGAACUCAAAAUGGCCCUGGUGUGUUGAGAAUGCUGUCUUGUGCUCUUCCCCGGGAGCGAGCCUGAUCUGGUGAUAGCCCGCGCGCAAAUCCAACUUUGAGAACCAUGCUGCUCCAUGCAGUUCAUUGAGGAGUUCUUCGAUGACUGGGACUGGGAACUUGCCGACGACUGUGAUGGCAUUUAACUGCCUGUAAUCAAUACAGAGGCGCCAGGUCCCGUCUUUUUUCUUCACUAGGAUGACUGGGGAUGAAAAUGGGCUGUUGCUACGCUGAAUGACUCCUGAUUUCAACAGUGGCUCGACCUGAGCUUCUAUCUCUGUUUUCUGCUCUGGUUUGUAUCGAUACUGCCUGACGUUGACUGGUCACGCUCCUGGGAUCAGAGGAAUGCGAUGAUCGCACGCCCUCCUAGGUGGGAGCCCCGUUGGCUCUUCUAACACGUCUCGGAAUUGGUCCAAAACUUCUUGAAUGCAAGCUGGUGUUUGUUCCAAGUUCUCAGGCUGAGUUGCUACCACACAGAGGUGUAUGACAUGUGUGAUAGAUCCUUUGCUGCACAAGUUUUGCAGUUGCAGACUGUUGAUGGUCUGGCAACUUGUCGAGGCUGCGUCGUGUCCCACGAGACGUAGCGGACCCGCUGGAGUAGGUAUCUCAAUGAAACGUGCGCGCCAGUCGACCCCAUCGGGCUGUGUUCCUCUAGCCAAUCCAUGCCUAGGAUGAGAUCGCACGUGCCCAGGGCCAGCACCUUCAAGUCCGUAUAGAACUCGUGCCCUUGAGCGUACCAGGCGCACUGUGUGGCUACCUCUGAACAGAGCAGCUCACCUCCAUCUGCCACUCGCACACCGCUGGGUUUGGAGAGAGGUUGAACUCCUGAAAGUUGCUUUGCGAGCUGCUGGUUGAUGAACGAAUUGGAGCUGCCUGAAUCCACUAACAUGAGUACUUCGUGCCCUUGAAGCCAAGCUCUGAGCUGAAAAGCUUUGGUCGAAACCCCUCCUGUAACA